GUCCACGCCCUAAAACGGUGCACACUAGGUCUUGGCGGAUUCGACCCCACCAGGGCCCAAGCUAACGCGUUAAGUGUGCCGCCUGAGGACUACGGCCGCAAGGCUAAAACUCAAAGGAAUUGACGGGGGCCCGCACAAGCGGUGGAGUAUGUGGCUUAAUUCGAUGCAACGCGAAGAACCUUACCUAGCCUUGACAUGCAUUAGACGAGACCUGAAAGGGUCUUUUCCUUCGGGACUGGUGCACAGGUGCUGCAUGGCUGUCGU
rnacentral:rRNA from 1 species